rfam:Schistosoma margrebowiei strain Zambia genome assembly, scaffold: SMRZ_contig0001961
AUUCAGCUGAUGUGUUCCAAAUAGAACGAAACGCGCGUCCUGAAU